GAUAAAUGCUUGACAAAUAUUCUUUUGGGAUGAAGUUGUGAGCCUUGAUCCAUCUCAGUCUGGAUCCACUGGGUGUGGACCUUUUAAUCAAUGUAGUCCAUUCAGGUUCUGGUUGUGUCGUAAACGUCUCAGACCUCAAACCCAAUGGCUUCUUGCCUUUCCAAUGACGGUACCUGCUGCAUGAAGCUAAUUCCUGUACAAAUGUUUUUGGUAGCGCCAGUCUGUUGAUGCUACACGUGUGUUAUUUAUAUUAAUGCAGCUCCAGAUGUCUGUGACAUCAAACUCCUCUGUGACCUUUCGAUUUAUUUGAGCUUGACUUGACGCCGCAAUUAAGGACGAACGCGCUUUAAAUUAUCCCAACUGCAAAUGAAGCUUGAUUUAGAGUCGACCAAAACAGUGGAGACUGUUUAUCUGCCGUGAGCUUUGACCAGAUUUGGAGCAGAAAUCUACAACUUGGAUGAUGUGACCUUUGAGCACAAUCUGUUUUACUGACACCAAACAAAUCCUGCUCGACACAAACAGCUUGACAUCAGACAGGAUGAGGAUUCCAUUACUGCGGAUCUGAGUCAUUUACAGGAAGUGGUACAACAGAGGACGCCCCGGGAUUAUCCAGUCAUUGUCUCACCCCCCCAGGGUUUUACUUCACCUCCUACUGAGAAACACUGAAACUGAGAAUCCACCAGUUUAGCUUAGAAUUAAGAUAAAGCAUCAGUGCAGUGAGAGGAAACGAUGAGACUUUGGACCAUGUGAUGCUUUAGCUUUUGUGAGGCUGCUCGUCCCACAUCCACUGCUUUACAAACGGACACGGCCCAGACUUUUACCUUCGCUGUCCCCGGAUGCUCUUUCCUUCCUUGGCAGAUUGUUGGCAAAGGGAUUUGUAUGUUGUUGCAAUUUGUGCAUGAAAUUUGUUUAGAUUAAGUCCUUUGAUAAUCCGGGCUCCUCUUCCCCAGAAAAGCUGCCGCGAUUUUAUUCCUCCCAUCAGAGAGAAAGUCCAGCGAGCCGGAGACGUGGGACAUCAAAGGUCCGAGUAUCUGCAGCGGCGACUGAACACACGCAGCUGAACGUAACGUGGGUUUUUUGUUUCGCUGGAGGAAGAAAGCGAACUUCCGAGGCACAGAUGUAUCGGCCCGGGUCCAAGCAGACACCAGCUCCGGUGCCAAACGGCUGAGCAAUCGCCUGGAAAACACUGGCAACACGCGGUGUUUACAUUUCAGCUCGCUUUUUAACCUUUCUGUAAACUCGCAGCGGAUCGUUAAGGCCUCGCGAAGGGUCCCAGCCGGACC
rnacentral:lncRNA from 1 species